rnacentral:rRNA from 1 species
UACGAAGGGGGCUAGCGUUGCUCGGAAUGACUGGGCGUAAAGGGCGCGUAGGCGGAUGGCACAGUCAGAUGUGAAAUUCCUGGGCUUAACCUGGGGGCUGCACUUGAUACGUGUGAUCUAGAGUGAGGAAGAGGGUUGUGGAAUUCCCAGUGUAGAGGUGAAAUUCGUAGAUAUUGGGAAGAACACCGGUGGCGAAGGCGGCGACCUGGUCCUUAACUGACGCUGAGGCGCGAAAGCGUGGGGAGCAAACAGG